rnacentral:rRNA from 1 species
AAGAGACAGCAGUCGCCGCGGGAAUACGAAGGGUGCAAGCGUUAAUCGGAAUUACUGGGCGUAAAGGGUGCGUAGGCGGUUGUUUAAGUCAGAUGUGAAAUCCCCGAGCUUAACUUGGGAACUGCAUUUGAAACUGGCAAGCUAGAGUCUUGUAGAGGGGGGUAGAAUUCCAGGUGUAGCGGUGAAAUGCGUAGAGAUCUGGAGGAAUACCGGUGGCGAAGGCGGCCCCCUGGACAAAGACUGACGCUCAGGUGCGAAAGCGUGGGGAGCAAACAGGAUUAGAUACCCCUGUAGUCCCUGUCUCUUAUAC